rnacentral:rRNA from 1 species
AAAUUGAAGAGUUUGAUCAUGGCUCAGAUUGAACGCUGGCGGCAGGCCUAACACAUGCAAGUCGAACGGUAACAGGAAGCAGCUUGCUGCUUCGCUGACGAGUGGCGGACGGGUGAGUAAUGUCUGGGAAACUGCCUGAUGGAGGGGGAUAACUACUGGAAACGGUAGCUAAUACCGCAUAAUGUCGCAAGACCAAAGAGGGGGACCUUCGGGCCUCUUGCCAUCGGAUGUGCCCAGAUGGGAUUAGCUUGUUGGUGGGGUAACGGCUCACCAAGGCGACGAUCCCUAGCUGGUCUGAGAGGAUGACCAGCCACACUGGAACUGAGACACGGUCCAGACUCCUACGGGAGGCAGCAGUGGGGAAUAUUGCACAAUGGGCGCAAGCCUGAUGCAGCCAUGCCGCGUGUAUGAAGAAGGCCUUCGGGUUGUAAAGUACUUUCAGCGGGGAGGAAGGGAGUAAAGU